CCUACGGGAGGCAGCAGUGAGGAAUAUUGGUCAAUGGCCGGAAGUCUGAACCAGCCAAGUCGCGUGAAGGAAGAAGGCUCUAUGAUUUGUAAACUUCUUUUAUAGAGGGAUAAAGGUAUACACGUGUGUUUAUUUGCAUGUACUCUAUGAAUAAGCAUCGGCUAACUCCGUGCCAGCAGCCGCGGUAAUACGGAGGAUGCGAGCGUUAUCCGGAUUUAUUGGGUUUAAAGGGUGCGUAGGUUGUUUGUUAAGUUAGCGGUGAAAGUUUGGGGCUCAACCAGAAAAUUGCCGUUGAUACUGGAAGACUUGAGUGUGUUUGAGGUAGGCGGAAUGUGUGGUGUAGCGGUGAAAUGCAUAGAUAUCAUGCAGAACACAGAUUGCGAAGGCAGCUUACUAAGCUAUAACUGACACUGAAGCACGAAAGCGUGGGGAGCAAACAGGAUUAGAUACCCUUGUAGUC
rnacentral:rRNA from 1 species